rnacentral:rRNA from 1 species
CCGCCGCGGUAACACCGGCAGCUCUAGUGGUAGCUAAUUUUAUUGGGCCUAAAGCGUCCGUAGCCGGUUUAAUAAGUCUCUGGUGAAAUCCUGCAGCUUAACUGUGGGAAUUGCUGGAGAUACUAUAGACUUGAGACCGGGAGAGGUUAGAGGUACUCCCAGGGUAGAGGUGAAAUUCUGUAAUCCUGGGAGGACCGCCUGUUGCGAAGGCGUCUAACUGGAACGGUUCUGACGGUGAGGGACGAAAGUUAGGGGCGCGAACCGGAUUAGAUACCCGGGUAGUCCUAACUGUAAACGAUGCGGACUUGGUGGUUGGGGUGGCUUUGAGCUGCUUCAGUGCCGAAGGGAAGCUGUUAAGUCCGCCGCCGUGGGAAGUACGGUCGCAAGACUGAAACUUAAAGGAUUGGCGGGGAGCACCACAACGCGUGGAGCCUGCGGUUUUAAAUUGGAUUCAACGCCGGACAUCUCACCAGAGGCGACAGCUGUAUGAUAGCCAGGUUGAUGACUUUGCUUGACUAGCUGAGAGGAGAGGUGCAUGG